rnacentral:tRNA from 1 species
GGUGUGCAGCUCAGUGGCAGAGCACUUGCCUAGCAUGCAUGAGGCCCUGGGUUCCAUCCCUGGCACCA